GGCAGGCGCCGCUCUCCGUUCUCCGCGGCAGGCCUCAGUGCUGGCGUGCGGCAGCGCAGCACCAGGGAGGUGAUGAGGGGGAAAACGCGGGGUGGGUGAGUGUGUGUGGAAUUAAUCCACGAUGUCAGAGGUUUAUGUCCAAAAAGGAGACAGAGGAGUCCUGUAACUUUAUUCGAAUAAAGGGAGAGGCCAUGGGGCAUUUCCCGUGGGGUCUCUCAGAUGGUUGAAGGAUGCAGCCUCUCUUUUAUCUUCAAGCCCCUGCUGCAUCACCCUCUUCCUUUUUCCCACGGCUGAGGUAAUCAGAAGGUACAGACUUACCGAAUCGCCUGCUCUAUGCAUUUUCCCCCCCGUAUGCACCCCCUUUCAUUAUAUAAAAGAAAGAAAAACCUACUCAUUAUUUGACUAAGUCUUUGUUCUCAUGCUCUAGGUUCAGUAAUUUAACAGGGCCUUGGCUGAGCAACAAUCUGUGUUGAUCAGUAACAUUCUCUAGAGCUAAUAGCUUAUUUUGUUACUUCCCUAUCUCUGAGUUCAUGGCCCUAUCCCCAAGCAGAUUCACACGGUCUGUUUGUAAAGACACAUUCAUCUUAUUUCUUUCAAUCCUUCCUCUUUUAUUUUCUUAGUAAUUACCUUUACAAACUUUAAAUACCAUUGAUUUAAUCUUUUCUUCCUGGGUCUUCUUUGACCCAAUGACAUAAUUCUCUGUACUUGAGUUGUUUAAUUUUCCACAAACUCCUCCUUUUUAUGCUAAUAGAUAAUAUAAUACCAUCUGAUGUUGAAAUGUUCCAUUUCUCAUCUGACUGGAUUUCAUUCCAUCUGCCUCAAUAUUUGCAACAAUCAUAAGAAGGGCAAUUGGGGGUCCAACAGUCUAAACCCAAAGGUAAGGUUUAUUCACAAAUGUUUUUUCCUGCAUUUGUGAAUAAAUGCCCCGUCCUUUUUAGGCAAUAAAUACCUCUUUCAGAACAAUGAAGUUGCCAUGGAGUUCCUUCCUCAUCCCAAAAUCCCAUUCCGUUAUGGACCUCACUCGGGAUGCUGACCCACCAUUUAAGUUCGGCUUGGCUGGCCACCCAUGGCCAGCUUUCAGGUCCUCGUGCCCCUCCUGACCCAACAAUUGCUAAGGUUAAGAACUUUUGCUACUUCUUCUCCUUAGGCUGCAAAUUGAUUCUCCCACAUCCGGCCCAACCGUGACUGACAAUACAAACUAUUAAGGAAAAUAUUCUAAUAGUGUAAUCUAAUUAUUUAGUCAAAUUCUCACAUUGUCUUCCCCACCACCUGUGGCGACCAAAGGCACAGAAACAAUUUAACAUAAAGAAAACAGCGACAGUAAGGAUUGUGCUACCAUCUCUGGCUGGAGAUGGCAGAGGAGGGUGGCCAGGAUUGCAGAGGAUUCCAGCAGAGGAUGUGUGGGCAGGCACAGGGGCUUGGCCCGCUGUGGAGCCCUGGCUGCUGCUGCGUUGCCUUCAGGGCAGGCUCGGGGGCGGCCUCCCAUCCUCGUGCUACAGGUGGGAAGUGCAAAUCUCCGGGGCUUCAGAGCUACAAGCUUUUUCAUUCCCAACUGCCCCAUUUAUUGGUGGAGACUCUUUCUUGUAACUUGAUUGGAGGUCAGGUGUUGCCAUGCCACAACGCCUAAGCUACAAGCUUUUUCAUUCCCAACUGCCCCAUGCAAGGGAGAUGUGCACGCCUUCUUUCUACCUGUCUUAGACAGCAAUACAGAGGGGGGAAAAGGGAAGAGAACAGAGGACAUCUAAACUAGAAUAACAUAACUAUACAUCACUAAAGCUUUUCUUAAUAUUCACACAAUAGUCAUCCCUUAACUGCAAGAGCCAAUCAUCUCAUUAUCUACCUGUAACAGUGUCUAGGGGAUGGUUUUUUUAUCACGUAUAGUUUUUGGGGUUCAUUGUUUUGGUUUUUGUCCGGGAUGGUUGCUGCUCCGGGAGUAUUGCAGUGAGUGGGAGCCAGGUUGGGGUUUCCAGAGAGAGUUUGGGGCAGGGUGUGGGGCAGCUCCUUUCCUUCCCAGCCAGCUGUUGGAGUGGCCACACUGCUGGUGUUUCUGACCGGAGAUCCUGCUGCUUCUGUGGGUUCUGUCUGUUUCUUUUUGUUUCUUUUCCUUUGGCACUGUGACCGGGCUUGCUGGCUUGCUUCUCUGCUUCUCUGCUGCUUGGGAGCCCAGAGCCGGUGCAUGCUGUGCCAGGAGUGGGAACACCCCGUUCCCCACCAGGGGCUGCCUCCUCUGCACAAGUCCAGACCCCAGGACCAGCCCUUGCCGGUGAGAAAUCACAGGGAACGAUUCCCUGUCCAGCCCCACUGUUCUCUGCCACUGCUUCAGAGCUUCUUGACAGACUGUAACCCAACACCUGGACACCCCACAGCUUCGGGCAGGGCCCUGGAGUUUCUGCUGCCUCUCUCUUGCUGCCCCGGGAUUUCUCAUGCUCAAAGCUUGGCCAGAUGGAGAAGGAGGCUGCGAGGAAGAUGCCCUGGGACUCCUUGGCAGACAAGGAGCAGAGGAUGGAGACCAGGGAGGACAAAUCCCUGCAGCAGGACCUUGUGGAAGAGGCCAUUUUGAGCAACUCCACAGUGCAGGAAUCCAAUGGGAAGGAAAAGCCCCAGAGAUCCCACACGAGGAGGGGCUCCAAACCCAGCCCAGGAUGCUCUGAGGAGGAAAGACCUACCCUGUGCCAGGAAGGUGGACAGAGCUUCAGCCAGAGCUCAGACUUGGUGGUCACUGAGCACCAUCGAAGCAGGGAGAAGUCAUACAAGUGUGGGGAAUGUGAGAGGAGCUUCAGCCGCCAACCUGAAGAAACACCAGAGGAUCCAUACUGGGGAGAAGCCCUACAAGUG